UACGGAGGGUGCGAGCGUUGUUCGGAAUCAUUGGGCGUAAAGGGCGUGUAGGUGGUCUGUUAAGUCAUGUGUGAAAGCCCCCGGCUCAACCGGGGAAGUGCGCAUGAAACUGACAAGCUAGAGUACCAAAGAGGAGGGUGGAAUUCCCGGUGUAGCGGUGAAAUGCGUAGAUAUUGGGAGGAACACCGGUGGCGAAGGCGGCUAUCUGGACCGGUACUGACGCUGAGACGCGAAAGCCAGGGGAGCAAACGGG
rnacentral:rRNA from 1 species